rnacentral:tRNA from 1 species
GUUUUAAUAGUUUAAAAACAAAACAUUGGUCUUGUAAAUCAAAGUCAAGGAAAUCCUUUUAAAACU